AGGCCGGCUGCUUCCCCAUCGAUCAGAUUCAGGUGGUGGUGCAGUAGCAGUGGAGCCUUCAGACCGUCGAAACCUUGGGACGUAUUUUGCUGGAGAUGGUGCGGCAGCUGCAGCUGCAGCAGCAGCGGCAGGAGCAGCAGUCCCAGAAUCCAGAAGGCGAGAAGCAGGAGGAAAGUCAGGUCUAGCAGGUGCAUCAGAUGAUCUGCCACCACCAAAGAGACUUUCUUUCCUCAG
rnacentral:misc_RNA from 1 species